rnacentral:lncRNA from 1 species
UUGAACUCCUGGCCUCAAGGAAUCUGCCUGCCUUGGCCUCCCAAAGUGCUGGGAUUACAGGCCUGACCCACCAUCCCUGACCCAACUAUUGUUUCUUAAAAAAAACUCUUUUUAACCUUGCCUUUUUGUUAGGGUAGAAGGAUAGCUCAGAGCUUCAAAGAGCAGGACUAGCCUAAGAACUGUCUGUGAUAUUUGACCAGAGGUGCAGCCUAGCUGCCAUUCUUCCUCACCCUGUGGAAGACAUUAAAGGGAGAAUGAAAGUAGCUGUAGAAUUACCUUUGGGGGAAGAAGCCACUUGGUGAACUUGGCAAACACCCGUGUUUGAGGGGUCACCCAGGGUGUCAUGAGCUGGGCCGGAGGGGAUGGAUUGAUUACUUGUCUUGUUUGCUUGUUUCUGUUGUAAGUCAGGGCCCCUCAGCAGAAGGCAGAACAGAACCGAGUUCCUUUAGAAUGCUGGUUUUUGUGUGGAGUGAGGAAGGACCGUGAGUGUGGUCAGUUUCCAACCUGACAGGACCUGCUCCCGUUGGCCAGGACUGCAGCUUGUUACUUUGACCCUGGGAAGAAGGUAAGUGUUCCCAAGAAAAGGGACGUCCCAAAGCGGCGCCAUCCCGAUGGCACGUGUGCUGCUCGACUCCCUGCCGGGUAGGUCCAUCCUGACGGCGCAUGUGCCCCUCAGCUCCCCCCACUGGGUAGGUCCAUCCCGACAGCACCUGUGCUGCUCGACUCCCCCCACUGGGUGGGUCCAUCCCGACAGCACCUGUGCCGCUCGACUCCCCCCACUGGGUAGGUCCAUCCCGACAGCACCUGUGCUGCUCGACUACCCGCCGGGUAGGUCCAUCCCGACAGCACCUGUGCCCCUCACCUCCCUGCCAGACGGUGCGUGUGCCGCUUGGCUCCCCACCAGGUAGGUCCAUCCCGACAGCACCUGUGCCGCUCACCUCCCCACCGGGUAGGUCCAUCCCGACAGCACCUGUGCCGCUCACCUCCCUGCCGGGUAGGUCCAUCCCGACGGCGCGUGUGCCGCUUGGCUCAAGGCCCUGACAUCGUUCCACUCAGCACAGCAUCAGGUGCCCGGGACCCGGGACAUCAUCGUUCUGUGUCAGCACAUCAGGUGCCCGGGGCCCGGACAUCAUCGUUCCACUCAGCACAGCAUCAGGUGCCUGGGACCCUGGACAUCAUUGUUCUGCUCAGCACAGCAUCAGGUGCCCGGGACCCUGGACGUCAUUCUGCAUCAGCACAACAUCACCAGUGACGAGAGCCUCCCCAAGUGGUUGACGGGAAGGAUGGUUCGGUCCUCCAGAGGCGGUGGCCUUCUCUUCCUCGAUGACAUUGCCGGGCUGCACCUUGUGAGAGGCCGUCGCUGAGAGUGCAGCCAAAUGGAACCAUCAGGAGGGGUGUCUCGGGGGUGUCGAAAUGGCUGCUGUGUUGACAUCUGAAAGCACAGAGGGACUGGGCUCUGGACACAGCUCCGAGACUCCUCGGUCAAGGGAACAGCUGGAAGAGGCUGGAAUGCAGUGGCGUGAUCUCGGCUCAGUACGAC